rnacentral:ncRNA from 1 species
UGGCCGUUCUUAGUUGGUGGAGCGAUUUGUUCUGGUUAAUUCCGAUAACGAACGAGACUCUGGCUUGCUAAAUAGUUACGCGACCAUCCCGGUCGGCGUUUAACUUCUUAGAGGGACAAGUGGCGUUUAGCCACACGAGAUUGAGCAAUAACAGGUCUGUGA